AUUAUUGUGCAAAAUAUGGCAUCAUUAAGUCAGAAGGUAUUGAAAGAACAGCCUAAAGGCUUUCGUACAGUUCUGGAGUUUAGCCGAUGGCAUGCCAAAGUGACUGAUGCUUCACAAAUUGUAAUUUAUCACACUCAAAUAGUUGGAGUUGUAUUUAAGCUGUAAGCAAUACUUAGGGCCUUUAAUACAGCUAAAAUACGGCACUUAAGAUUUGGGGAACUAUUAUCUUCAAUCCUUUAAACACUCAAAAUGCCUGCUUGGAAAUAAAACCCCUACAGGGCCUUCAAGUGUUACUAGUAGCAAACCAAAGUAGAGGUAGUUUACAUAGUGGCGACGAUGCCAGUGAUUCUGUGUCGUAGGCCAGCUUGUAUGGGUUAGGGAGGGAGAGGAAGGUUGAAAAUGGGAGGCCUCUGCGGUCCUUACCUCAUUCCCUGUAGGGUCACAGAGUACUUCUAGACGUGGUGGCUACACGAAACGUGGCAGGAACAUAAGGCUGCGCGUUGCUAGAUCAGAUUUUUUCACCUGACGUCCCUAAGUAUGUAUGUUCAGGAUCUGGGAUGUCAAGUGAAUGGGCAGGAGUGUAGAAUUCUUGGCCAUGCUGUCAAAUCUGUUCCAAACGUAAUUGCCUGGAUAUGUGGGCUUGAUACGAUACCUCUUGGAGCCUCAGUUAUCACGUGCAAAAUGAAGGUACUUGUAUCUGUCUCGAGGGUGUGUUGGGUGUUCCUUUGUCUCUCUGGGAGACAUUUUCCAAAAAAACCAAGACUGGUUUGCCAAGUGCAUAGAUUUCUCCCACGGGGACCUUGAUUCCCCCAGGAUAUGUGGUACACUGCUGACAGUGGUAUUGGUCAUAUUACAAGGGCAUUUUGAGAAGUGUACUUGAAUCCCCAGGGGCCUGGCCUUUCUGACUGCAUCCUUCUUCACCAAAAAAGUGACUAAGCUGGUCUAACUCUACCGGAGAACCUGGCAGAGCCAAAAUUUCAGCCUUUUGAAAGUAAGGAGCUAAGUCAGUUCUUAACUUCCUUCAUUCUCUGAACAGUAUAUUUCACUUUCUUAGCAAAUUAAACUUGCAGAAUGAAAGAACUUGAUUCUUCUGUACAUUCUGUCCUAUAAAGUGCUUUUCUUUAUAUAGAACCCAUCCCAAAAGGUAUUGUUAAUACUAUAUUCAGAACUUUUCACGUGAAUAUAGUGUAUGUGAUUUUUAUCUAUCUCCUCUUAGCUAUAUAAAAUCUAUAUCUCCUUUUUAAAAAUACAAAUGAGAAUACUGAACAUUCUGUAAAUUAUUUUUGUCUAUGUAUCUGGGAGAUGUUUCUGUAUCUGCACAUACCUCAUUUCUUUCAGUGAGUACUGCAUUGUGUGAGUGCACCUUAAUUCAUUUAACUGGACUCUUUCUUGAUGGACUUAAUAGACACUUCCUGCUUUUUUGCUAUUAAAAGCACUUCAGUAAAUACGUUUUUAAUAUUUGUUCACUUGUAUAACUAUAUAAGAUACGUUCCUGGAAGUUGAAUUUCUGAAUUUUGAUUGAAUUGUAGAUAUUUAUAUAUAGUGGCUGAUAUAAAAGAAUUAGAAAGUCAGGUAUUAAAGAACAUUUACUGUGGGUGUGUAUAUGAAUGUUUUUCUAGGUUAGAUAAAAGAAACUUGAAGAUACUAUCAAAUGGAUGCCCUCAAAUGACUGCCCAUUUAUAUUCCUACCAGUAGUGGAGAUGCAGUAAUGUCCAUCUGCUGGACAAAGACAAUCUCAUUAUUUUAGCUUUGCCCUCCAUUUGUUUACUUUCUCUUUCUGAGGCUCCUAUUGAUUGGAUAACCCUUCUGGAGGUCCUGUGUGUCGCUUUCUUUCAUAUGCUCUUUUAGUCUUUUAUUGUGUGGGACAUUUCUUGGACUUUCUCAUCUAGCACUUUCAUUGAUUUUUUUCAUGUUGUCAAUUUUUUUAAAAAAAUUCCCUUAUUCUGGAAAAUUUCAAACGUAUGCAGAAGUAGAGGGAAUGGUAUAAUGAACCCAGUCAGCUUUAAGAAUUGUCAGCUGAUGCCAGUCUUAUUUCAUGUAUAACUCCAUCCUCUCCCCCAAUCAACCCUCAAAUUAUUUUGAACUUAAUACCAGACAUAUUUUUGGUGCACAUUUAUUUUUCAGUGUAUUCACUUCGAAAACAUAAGGACUCUUCUUUUUUUUUUUUUUUUUUUAACGGUUCAGUAGUGUUGGGUAUAUUCCCAUUGCUGCAAAAGCUCUCCAGAACUUUCCACCUUGCAAAACUGGCAUUUUAUACCCAGUAAACAACUGCCCAUUUUCCCCUCCCCCUAGCCCUGACAACCACCAUUCUAAUUUUUGUGUUUCCGACUUCAUGUAAGUGGAAUCCUGCAUAAUGUCCUUUAGGUGCAUCCCUGUGCCAUGAGAUUUUUUUCUUUUUUUAAGGCUAAUGAUUCCAUUGCGCACAUACAUAUAUUUGCAUACAUACAUACAUAUGUAUACAUACACCACAUUUCUUUAUCCAUUUAUCCCUCGAUGGACAUUUGGCUUGCUUCCACCUCUUGACUUGUGAAUAAUGCUGCAGUGAACACAGGAGUACUAAUGUCUCUUCAAGAUCAUUUCAGGUCUUGGAUAUAUACCCAGGAGUGGGAUUGCUGGAUCAUAAGGUAUAACUGUAUUUUUUUAUUUUUUGAGAAACCUUAAUGUUUUCCUUAGUGGCUGUACCAUUUUACAUUCCCACGAAGGGUUCCAGUAUCUCCACAUCGUCAUCAGCACUUAUUUUCUGGUUUUUAUUUUUGUUUUUUUUUUCUUUUUUUUUUCUUUUUUUUGCGAUAUGCGGGCCUCUCGCUGUUGUGGCCUCUCCCUUUGCGGAGCUCAGGCUCCGGACGCGCAGGCUCAGCGGCCAUGGCUCACGGGCCCAGCCGCUGCGUGGCACGUGGGAUCUUCCCGGACCGGGGCACGAACCCGCGUCCCCUGCAUCGGCAGGCGGACUCUCAACCACUGCGCCGCCAGGGCAGCCCUAUCUGUGCUCUCUUAGCUCAUCGACCACCCUUUACUAUUUUGAAUUAUCUGGUAGUUCAUGGAUCUCUCCUUGUCUGGGGUUGGCUUCUGGAGACUUAUUCCGAUCAGGUGGUUGGGCUGUGUUUCCCUUUUCUUUGUAUGCCAUGUAAUCUUUUAUUGGGAAUUGGGCAUUUGGAAAAACAGCCACCUCUCCCAGUCUCUGGACUGGCCUCGUAUGGGGGAAGUCAUCUCAGCUAGAGAUUUGGGGAACCUUUCAACCCUUUUCUGGGGAUGCAUCUUUUCUGGGCUUGUGUGUAUGAUUUCCUAGUUAGACUUGCCACUGUUUUCUUUUCCGGAGCCUGCAGUCUCUUACUCCCUCUGGUGUCUGUCUGUGGUACUGCAUUCCCCACCGUAUAACUUGGACAGAACAUGACUGUUCUCAGGGGCCCCCCAACCUGGCAUCCUUCCCAUCAGUGUCCUGAGUCAGAGAGACAGAAACUAGUCUCUUAGGCAGCCCCUCAAAAAGCCAAAACUUUGGACUCAUGUGUCACUCUUUUUUUUCCCUCCCAGGAGAGAAGCUGGGAGUUUUCUGGUCUCCUGUCCUCACUGGGGGAGUGGGAGGGACUAGGGCAGGCAAAAUGCGAGGAAUGUUCUUGCAUCCUGUGUGGCUCUUCUUGCUUCGUGCUCACCUGGUGCUGCAGCCUCUUCCCUGGUUUCUGUGGUCUGUGUAUCCCUGCUCGGUGGUUGUCUCUGCGUGGGAAUGAGGGUCUGGAGCUUCCUAUUCCUCUGUCUCGCUGACGUCACUCUAAGGACUCUUGCUGAAAUAUAAUCAAAUAUCGUCGUUACCACUAAAAAUAGCAGUAAUCUCAAUAUCCUUAAAUAUCCAGUAGUAGUCAAAUUUCCUUGAAUGUUUUUAUUGCGUAUUUAUUUGAAUAGGGAUCUAACUGAUUGAUGUGUUUCUCAAAUUUCUUUCAAUCUAGUGGUUCCCCUUCCAUCUAAGAAAUCAUUUAAAUACACACAGGCCUCAUUUUGCAUGGGACCAGAGAAAAUAAACACGCAAGCUGAAAACAUGCAAAAUGGUCCUAAUAAUCAAUAGGAAAAAAAUAUGAUUGUUCUGUGCCUAUAAAAUUUUACAAAAUAUUAAGUCUUUUGCUUUCAGUUAUAACUGUAAAGGAAAAUGUAAAAUAGUAGAACUUAUAUUUAAUAUACUAUCUGAAAUAUUAGUAAUAUUGAGAAAGUAUUCUGUGUCUUUGUUAAAAAAGAAAAAAGCAAAAAACAAAAACCCAAACUUAAUCAAUAGUAGUUUGAACAGUGCUUGCCUUCUCAUCACAUAACUUACAAGCAUUUUUCUCUAUGCCUUGGUGAGUUGUCAUAUUUCUAACUUUGGUCAUGAAAUACUUCUGGAUUCUUUUUAAUGUGUAGCUUUUUAAUGGUAUCCCUCCUCUGGGACAUCAUCGUCCUUCUCAUCACAACAGCUUUCCUUAUUCAUCUCAGUAAGUCUGUCUUCACUGAGUCCCUUUGGCUGCAUCUCUGAGCCUCUCAAUGUUGCACUGUCAACACGCCCAUGGUCCACUGUUUGUUCCAUAACCCCAUUUACAUUUGAUUCAAACUUCACUUCCAUCGUUCUCACACUUUGUUUCUUUGCUGUGCUUUUGUCUUUGUUGGCCAGUUUCCUGUUCUAGCUCUCCAUUUUUGUAAAAUGUCACUUGGGUUUAUUGCUGGGAGACACGGCAGCAACACAACUACAUGCUUUGUUGUCUUUGCUGCCUCUGUGAAGAUUGAAUAACACAUGCUUGGUGACCAAUCACUAGACUUUGAAAGAAAUGUGUGUGUGUAAUUUACUCGGUGAAUUGUGGACUGAAGAGCUAGCCACAGAGUUUAUCCUCUGUGCAGUUAUUCACAAAUGAUAUACUGUAGUAGCUGUUAACAGGAACUGUGUUCGUGGGGACGGGUGGUGUCUCCCUCAAUGGUGAUAAGCAAAGCUCGUGCUUGCCAGAACCUUGCAAAGCCAAGGCAGCCUGCACUUGUCUUAGAAGCAUCUCUUAUUUCUUGGGGUCAGUUAUCUAUUUACUUUGGCUUUUCCUUUUGAAACUAUGGGGAUCUUUGUUUUCUUUUAUUUGUAAUUAAGAAUUAUAAUUAAGCUUUUCUUUCUGGUACUGGUCUGGAUUUUCCCUCAUAUGUAGAUGGACCUGGUUCUCUGAUAUGCCUUUCUUCACCAUUAGAAGGAUUUCCAUGGACUGGAAUUCCCAGUAGGGUCCACCUAUAGGGAGUCAACUGCUAUACUGGGGACCCUCACAACAGACACCCCUUAAGUGAAGAGCAACAGUUGGUCACACUUGAUACUUUAUCUUUUUCCAGGCGUCACUCGACUUACAGAUUCUUCCUCAUCCAGGACACACCUCGUUAGCAAGAGAGGUGGAGUGACGUGGUGUGGGGUAGAGGCUCCUAAGCAAGGCUGUCUGUCCUCAAAAUUUGACUCUGCUCUUUUCUAGCUGAGGCUGUGAGUUAUUUAUACUUCUGUAUCUUAACUUUUCUCAUCAAUAAAAUAACAGUAGUAGAAAAUGCCUCAUGGAAUUGUUUGAAAAUGACAUGAGUUAAUAAUAUUAAUAUACGUAGGACAGUGGUUGGCACAGAGUAAGAGCUGUUUAAGUGUUUGAAAAUGAAUAGCUUUGAAUUUCAAGAAAUGAAAUGGAUCUGAAAAUAGGCCCUUUUAAUUUCUUGUCUCCACAUCUGGAACAGUUCCCUGAAUACAAGGAGGUUUAAGAAAUUUUUUUUCCUGAUUAAAAAUCAACUAGGUUCCGUGGUGACUGCUUCUGCAGUUAAGUAGGUGGUUAAUAGGAAGUAAAUGUAUAAGUUUGAAGGACUAAGUGUGUCCCUGACAGGCCACACAGGCAUCGCAGUAGCAAUUAAAAUGAAUUUAUCGUACAGCCAGCGAAGAGAGGGAAGAGACACAGCAAAGGCAACUCAGUGACACGAUUCCAAACAUCUGUUUGCUUCUAUUUUUGGUAAUCAUUGCAUUCUCACAGUACUUCAGUCAGAGCUGGGGGAAAGCAAGAACACUACCUAUUUAAAGCCCAACAAAAAGACCAUAAUAAAAUAUUCAGCAAAAGUUCUAACGAAGCUGUAUUAAACAAAAAAAGAGCUAUGGACAUUGUUGUCCUGUAAGCGCUUGUCAGGUGUUUUUAAUCAUAUUAUUCACUUACGAUUGCGCAUAGUGUACAUCAUCAAGUCUCAAGUGUCUUCAGUUCUAAAAGCAUCAACACUGAGCAGGAGUCUUUUUCAAGGACAAAUCCCAUAAAACUUUCCUUUAAAGAAAAUGAGGGAAAACCCACGAGAGCAAGAAGUAAAUUGUCUUUUAAAACAGGAAGGAGAAAUAAACAGUUACACUAAAAUUAGGAAGCCUCACUGAUCCCAAUUCAGUCAGUUGUUGCCAUGAUGUCAGAAAAUGUUGACAGAUGCAUGGUCCUUAAAGGUGUUUUUAUUUUUCCUUUGAAACAGACUCAAACUUGUAUAAAAGCUGUAAGAACAGUACAGAGAACAUUUCAUCAGCCAUUUGGGUGACAAUUAUCGACAUGACAUCAUCAUCCAAAUACUUGGGUAAAGAGUUCAGAAGUCGUUAUUCCCCUCCUAUGACAAGAAAAAGCUGGACACGUGGCAAAUCGAAGACUUUCCUUGCACCCAUCUGAGACGUGCAGCCCCAGGGCAAACCGUCCGCCCCAAAUCUGGAGAGUUGGUCACAACCAGAAAGAUCCUUGGGGCAGAAGCUACGGGAUGCCAAGCUGGCGGGAAUAUUUAAACCAGCCCUCAGGACCCUCUCUGCCCUCUCUCCCCACCCUGCUUCCUGGAGAACGUCCCUUCCGUUCUCCAGAAGGUUCCAGAACACAGCACAAUAUAUCUUUAUGUGUUUUUAUCAAUCCCAGGGACUCAGGAUUGGCAUGAAACUUAUUAGAGCGAAUUUAAAGCAUUGCAAAAUUUUACUGCAACUUUGAAGAGAUUCCUGAGGGAUUUUUUUUUUUUUUUUUACUUGAAAAUUUAAUAAAAUAACCCCUUGGUCAUGAAUCUUUCCCCGGGGAAGUUGAUGGGGAAUUGUGUUCACACCUGCGGUGACGUGUACUCCAGACUCGAUUCAAUUAUAAAUCUCUGUGACCUCAACUCACCUACAGAUGGCACUGAAAGGCAUGAAAACGGUUCAAAUCUACUCUAAUUACAAUGACGUAUACAAUUCUGCAAAAUCAAUGAACAAUUCCUGAAGUUGCCAUACAGCAAAAUGGCGAGGAGUUGCAUGAAAACCGAAAUCCUACUUCAUUCAAUCAACAGGGAAAUGUUUUUAUUGUCUCUAAUUUUCAUUUAUUUUAAAAUCAACUUAUAAUCAUUGUGAAUGGACAUCUCUCAGAAAAUUCAACUAAACUCACCAUCCCUUUUGCCGUUGGCUGUUGCAGGGAGGGGUGUAUCUGUUGAAACCUCACUCUCUCAGGAGAACACAGAGGGAUGCAUUCUGUCUUCCUAACUGAGAACCCACUAUCCUGCGAGAGAACAUCUUAGCGCAGUGAAAGGCUGUUCCUUCCCAGCACCACGAAGACUCCAGCCCACUCCUGUUAAAGCCCUGGCCAGGGCCGUUCUGUGUCUGUUUUUGCUGGAGGUGAUCUUGGAGGCAGCCCCUCCUCCUGGUGCUUUGUCCCGGGAAAAGCCGCCUCUCCUCGGCCUGUCUGGGGCCUGUUUCCCACCCUCUCAAAGUCCCGAGACUCUCAUGCUAGGAGACCCUCAAAUCUGUGAAAAGCAACACAGUGCAGAGCGUUCACGGUACAGACCCUGAAAGGAACGCACGGAUUCCCAGCUUUUAUUAGACAGGAAAAGCGUUCUGGACCAGGGGGAGACCGCCUCUGUUUCAUCUCCUGAGUGUCACCGGGUUAGAUGCAGCCCAGAGAACCUGGCGUGGGCUCAGGGCAUGGGGAGACUCCGGCUGGGCCUCUGCAGCCGGAUCCCAGAUUCUUUUCCAUUACGGAAGAUGACUUCUUGACCCAAGGACAUACCUCUUAAUCUAAGGUAUGACAGAGAGAAAUAAUCACUUCAGGGGCCUAUCUUAACAUGCCUUUGUGGUCAGAAGAGGGCAAAGAGUGUCAAUCAAAUUGAUAAGUGAAGUGGAGUUUUUUCCAUCUAUUCUGCAUGCGAAGCACAUAGGAAAUUAAGGUGGGGAAUAAACUUUGGUCGUUUAUAUUCUAGGCAAACUGCUACUUCGGUUAUUUGCAGGUGAAAAGUGCCAGUUAUCUCAGCUGUGUUUGCUAUGACACGUUUUGAAAAAACAUUCAGGUUUAAAACCAAUGUAUGUUAAUUAACCAUUUGAGGUUUUUUCCCUUGAGACGUUUUAGACCAUAAUCGACCCCAUUUUUAUAUAACUUUAUGAAUAACAAUUUGAUGUUAAUAUAAGCAUGGACUUAUUAAACAAGGAAACUUUAUGUAAGUGUUGGGUUCAAUGACACAAUAUUAACAUAUAGCUUUAUGGUUUUUAGAACUGACACUUGGAAUUGAGAGCUGCUAUCUUAUAAAGCUUAAGUUAUUUUGUAACUUUUAAAAGCAGCUAUAUUAUUACACUUUUUCAUCAGUUUGUAUUUCUGAUAUGAUCUCUUUCAUGGUCAUUAUUAGUGGACUGAAGUUUUGAAAAUCAGGCCUUUAUCUUAUAAAAAAGAUUCUAGGCUGAGGUUAUAAAUGAAACCAAGUCAUUGCAGUUUGAUUACUCAAGUCAUUUGGUAUUAAAAGGACUUCUGGGAGGGAUGGGGGAAAUAUGCUUCCAUUUCAUUUAUCUUUUCAGUUUUGAAUUCGGAUUUAAGGUAACGUACAGCCGACGGAAGAGAAGUAACCAGAACCACCACUGGUUCAUUCAUGUGACAGAACACUAGGUGGCGCUGUCUUCCGCAGGAAUUGGCUAGAAUUGACCAAGCGUCUCUUUAAACCCAUUUGUCAGGGAUAUGUGUGUUACUUUGUGUUUCCCAGAAGUCAGAUAAAAAUACUCCCUUCACUUUCUGUUCUUAAUGAAGUGUUAACUUUAUGAAUAAGCACCUACACUUGUAACAAACUGGACUUCUUGAAUAACACAACUCUGAGUAAAUGACAGGUUGGUGACUAUGACUUCCGGGUACCAAGACUCAAGGAACUUGUUUACCUUUCAGUUGUUGUUGCUAAUAAACUUUAGAACAGUUUUAGAUUUACAGAAACAUGUCAAAGCUAGUACACCUCGCAUCCAGUUCCUCAGUAUUAACAUCUGGUAACCCUUGUCACAGCCGAUGAAAUGAUGUUGAUAACUUACUAUUAACUCAAGUCCAGAUUUUAUCCCGAUUUCCUCAGUUUUUCCCUAAUGUCCUUUUUCUGUACCAAGAUCCCAUGCAGGUGACCGCAGGGCACGUGGCCGUCCUGUCUCCUCUAGUUUCUCUUGAUGACCUUGACGGUUCUGCGGCUACUGGUUGUGAAUAUUUUAAGAUGCCCCUCGGUUUGCACGUGUCUGAUGCUUUUCUGGUGGUCGAGCCGGGUUAUGGAUUUGGUGGCGGAAGACCACCGAGGUGCUGGGCUGUUCCAUCACCUGGUGUCACGCAGUUGAUAUGACCAAUCACUGUGCGUGUUGACCUUGGUCACCCAGCUGAAGGGGUGCUUGGCGGGUUUCCCCACCAUCAAGGCCCGAGCAGCCCUUUGGAGUGCGGCUGGGACAUUUUCAAAGCUGUUGACAGAUGGGGAGCUGCUCUUCAGAGAGGAGAGGUGAUUAGGACACAGAUGUGCACGGAGGGAAGCCGAAGUGAGGACGCAGGGAGAAGGCGGCCGUCUGCCAGCCCAGGAGAGAAGCCUCAGGAGGAGCCCACCCUGCCGACACCCUGAUCUUGGACUCCCAGCCUCCAGAACUCUGAGAGGGGAAUGAUUGUUGUUUAAGCUGCCCGUGUGUGGUGCUUGCUACAGCAGCCCUGGCAAACUAACCACUGGCUUUGAUAGAGGUCCCAGAAGAUUCCGGGCCGGGGCAGGAGCGUCCCCAGAGGUGACCAGGGCACAGCUUCUGGUGUCAGCAGGUGACCAGCGCAGGCAGCUCUGGGUGAUGUUGUCUCCUCCCAGGGUACCAGGAGGACCUCCUGAGGCCAUGAGGAAAGCUCUGAGCAGCCUCUCCUUGGCUUGCAGAUGCCGUGUUCCCGGGUGUCUUCACGUGGCCCUCCCUCUGUGUGUGCUCUGUUUCCUCCCACAAUGGUCUGGUACCCAGGACACCAUCUAAGCUUAACUGAUUACAACUGUAAUGACCCUGUUUCCAAAUGAGGUCCCAUUCUGAGGUCCUGGAGGUUGCGACUUCAACAUACCAUUCUGGGAUGACACAAGUCAACCCAUAACUGUUGCCAACCCCCAAAUCUAAUUCCCUAGUUUAGUUUCUCAGGGUUAUAAUUUGAAUAUUUAAAUCAAUAUCACAGAUGGGAGAGGUUGCUAAAAAUUAGAAAAAACCCACCCAAUCUAGAGAAACCCGAUCUCUGGGUGCCGGGCAAGGGUCAGGGGGGUGGUCUGCGUCCACAGUGCCCCCAGAGCAGCCCUGGGGAGGCUGGGAGCUUAGCCUUUCUCCACUUUCCUGCCGUAACAGCCUCCUCGUGGGCUUUCCUGUCCAUCCAUCCCUCACACUGCUGGCCGACUGGACUUUAUCACGUCUUUAUUUCACGAACACACUGACUUCACUGUGUGUCUGACUCAUAGAGACGUUACUGCACUCGUUUCUUGUAGCAACCGCAGGAAGUGAGUUCUGACCUUACACCUAUUUGGGAGCUGAGCUCAGUGAGCAGAGCUGGGCCAGGAGGGCACCGCCCCCAGGCUGUCAAAUGCAUAGUGCUGCCAGCAUGGCUUACCUGUGCCUCCGCCUUCUCUCCUCAUGGGGCCUCAUCCCCGUUGACUGCGCCACCCCCCCCCACCGCCUGCAGAGCGAAGGUGGCCCAGGGCCAGGGUAUCAGCUGCCGUUCUCGGGCCCCUCCCCAGACCUCCAGCCCAGAACCAGAAGCUCAGCGGGGGAUGAGAAGGCAGGGAUUUGUGAUAAGGAGGCGAUUCGGAGACACUCUCAAGUUUGAGACUCAAGCUCCGCCCGUCUGGGGGGCUCUGUCCUUGACGCCCCCCGCCGUCCCGGCCCCACCUCCCCCUUCGCUGCAGCCUUUCUCUGAAACCCCCUGCGGCCUCUUCUUCCGCUACCGGCGCUCGGUCCCUCUUCAGAGCCAGUCCCGAGUGUCCCUUCUUUAUGAAGGCUUUUUGCUUCAUCUCCGUGCCUGUUCUUGUAACCAGCCCUGCAGUGUCUCCUCAGAAGGAUCUUCUUCACCUUCUGUACCUACUUUUUUCUUUAUAAUAGUUUUCUUGCACUUGCACUGUCAUCACUGCACUUGUCCCCUUAAAGCCAGCCAUCUGAAACUGUGUUCAGGACUGUGUUCAACAAAGCACUGUAUUGAAUGACUACUAUUAACCCAUGGAAAACCUUCUUUAAAACUAAGUACAUGGACAAAAAAGAGAUUAGGAGUGAUGAUUCACUUUGGGGAAAAAAUGUCUUACAAAGAAGGAUUCAAAAGAUAAUCCUUUAACAGGGCAAUUGUUUGAAAAUGAUUUCUCUCUCCCAUCCAAACAUCUGGGCUCUGGCUCCCACCGACAGUCUGAAGGCUUCCGUGUCUGCUGUGUUCCCAGUUCUGUCACGUGUACCCGCCUGCCCACAUCAGAGAGACUCUCUCAGGGCACUUAGAUUUGGGAGUCCGCCAUCUAGUGCUCAGAGCUGAAUGGAACGCUCCCGCGUGGUCUGACUUUCGUGAAAGCGCAUCUCUUUUUGUUCGUGGUCCUUUGCCAGCUACUUCACUCUUGAUUUCAGCAACCACAGCUCACUGGCGGCUCUGUGGGCGACUAAAACCACCAGACGCCUCUCCUCACUUGAACUGCGAAGUCUCAGACCGCCCUGACGUGCGUCUGAUCAGAGAGUAUGUUGAUGACUCUGUUGUUUCUAACAGAUGCAUAAGUACUUUGCAUCCUGGAACAUGGCUGCAUCAGAUGAGUUUUGAGUAACCACAACCCCCACGUCAUCUAUUUGAACUGGACUCACCACUGACGCUGAAAGGUCUUGAAAGGUCUUGCCUGCCCUCCAAGCCCUCUGGCCCGUCCCCUUCGCCACAAAAGCCCAAAAUACUCCAAACCACAUUUUUAAAGAACGCAUUUGGUGGUAAAACCUGAUCCAGAGCUAUUUAUAGGCUCUAUUCAUCCCACUUCCUAUGAAUUCAGGCAUUUUUCCCUGCAGAAAUGUUUUAUUUGAUUAAUGGUUUCUUCUCUAGUGUUCACUGAGGGUUUGCCACCAAAUAUUCAUGGUAUUAACCUCUUAAAUAAAAACAAAAACAAAAAACAAACCUUAAAUCAAAAACACAUCUGACCCUGAGGGUAGCAGAUGAGGGCUUAAGGACUUGUCUGAGCCCCAGCAUAAGUGUAAUUUAAAAAAUUUCACAGAUUGUUUUCUUGCUUUGUGGCACGGUAUUGACUUUUGGUGCUGUAAAUAGAGCCACCUUUGGUUCUAGAAGUUCUGUAUUAACAUUGCACAUUGGCCAAUCCAGAUAAUAUCUGACAAAUCUCUCCAACAGCCUAGAGAUGGAAGCCACCAAGACUGCCCCCAUCAUUUCCAGAUUUAAGGGAAACAUUCACUAUCACUCGGUGACCAUCUCGGGAGCCUUGGGACAUUUUUGGCACUUGCUCCUACUCAAAGAAUUUAGAUUCUUAAGAACACAGGAAAUUAAAUUGGAAGGCUUUCCUCCUAUGCAUUUAUCAUACUAGAACUUUCUGGGAUAAAAUUUUAUCAGUUUAAAACAGCUUCAUGAUAUGAAAUGGAGCACAAGUGUUAUCAAAGCAUCUUAUUUAAAAGCGUAGUCUCUGUAAGUUGUCUUUUUAAAAAGUGUGAAUGGUGAGUUAAAUUAUUGCGUGACUUUUCUCCCCAAAUUAAAAUUUUUAGAAGAAGUUUCCUCUCACAUCUGUGUGGACUCCAGUGGGGCAUUUUUAAAGUAAUUCCUUUGCCCACUUAGAUUAUCCAACUGAGUCAGGAUUAUUCCACGGUAAAGGUAUUUCACUUGUUUUAUUUUGCAAGAAAACAUGAAGAGAAGCCAAUCUAUUCCUUUUGUGGCCCUGAAUGCCUCUGAUUUCUCAGCCAUGCAAUAGUGACAGUACCAUUCAGAACUUCAGGAGUGAUUGUGUGAGUUCAAGGUAACUUUUUUAAGAGCCAAAGCACAGAAGAGAACAAGGAGAGGAUGGUGGGUGUAUGGGUAUCUUUGUGUAUUUAUAGUCAUCAUUCCCAUCAGGAAGAAUGGCCAGGUGUCCUCAGUUCAUCAGGUAGUCAAAGUGUAGAGAUAGAGAACUGAAGUCUCAUUCAACCGGCAGAAGUAGAAAUGAAGAUACAGAGAGGAACGGUGGGUGGUGUGAGCUCAUGUGAGAGAUGCUCUGGGCAGAGAACGCAGGAAGCUUGGAUGUGGAACGUGGCAGUUAAAAUCAUAAGGGUGGGGGGCUGAGCAAUUGUUUUAAUUCAGUGAAGCCUGUCAGAUGCUGGUGUUUUGCUACUGAGCACCUUUCAGCAGCUACUGCCCAGGAUGUAGUUUGUUUGAGCAAAGGGAAAGCCUUCACCACAGGCAAAAUGAGAAAUGAGCUUAUACUUGUGUUUCAGUGCCCUUGAUCUAUCCCACUGUGUAAGCAAGUAAAUACGGCUCCUCCUUUAACUGACCCCCUUCUACACUCUUGGGACAGGAGUCAAGGCAUCUGUGGUGUAUGUAGCGUGUCCCCUAAAAGAAGGCCUGGACAUGCUUUCCCAGUGGGAUUCUGACAGCACCUCGGGAGGCCUUCUUGGAGGGGCUACAGAAGUACCAAGUGUCCCCUCCUCCUUGGGACACGUGUCAGGCCUCCGAGCUUUACUUUAGGUUCUGUGAGCUUCCCGUACCUAAGGAAGGAAAAAGGCAUGUUUCCUCCUCCUUCUUCCUCCUUUUUGACUACAUCGUCCUCAGGGAAACCGAACUAUCUGGGGAAAGAGAAGGUUCUUUUGAGCAGAUCACUUUGCAAUAUGGGUCAAAGCUGGGGGGUGGCUCUCAAGCCUGGGCAUGCAUUAUACUAACCUUAAAUUCACUGAGAAGCUUUUCAAGUACACUGACACAUCCCCUGCCCACUCCCCCAGGGCAGAACAACAGAGUCAGUGUCUAGGGGUGGGGGGGGGAGGAUUCCGGUUUUCAAGUUCUCAGUGACCUGGGACGUGAAGACGUAAGCCAGCCUGCACGCCUCUGCACACCGAGAUUAAACAAACACCUACCCAGCCCCUGAUUCUGCCUGCCAGGAACCCUAACGGUGUGUGCUGUCCACCGAGCACCCUGUGUAUGGGCACAGGCUGAGAGUAAGCCAGGAGGCAUGAGGUGACGGAGGAGAUGCUGGAAGCAAAGGAGCACAGACUUGACCGAGGGGGACAGUGGAAAGUAAAAUGGCCAAAGGAAGCAGAAUUGUGAGGAGAAAAACACGGUGAAGAUGAAUUUAGUAAUUUCUUAGAGACUUCUUUUUGCUUUAGGGAUUCCUUACACUUUCUCUCCACGCUGGGUCACGUGUGUGAUUCUGAACUAAAGCGUGAACAGGUGGGUGUUUGUAGAAGAUGCGCCGUGGCGAAUCAGGUGACCAGCUAUGCAGGCAUUAGAUGAUAAUAGUUCACCUGUGUGGAGAUGGCUCUUGUGAAUUGAGAAUUUUAGACUGUUUUAGAAAGGACCGUUUUGUUUUUGUUUUUGUUUUUUUUUAAAAAAAAAGAUCACACGGGAAAAGAAGUUAAAAUUUAGGGAAAGCAAAAUAUUCCAUCCCUUUCCCCAGGCACCCAACAUCUAGGCAACACAAACAAAGUGAAAUUGUAAUGGUGCUUGCUAAGCCUGUUUGAAAACAAAUCCUGUUGGGCCCCCAUAAAGGGAUAAUCAGCUGUCCAGCCCAGCAACUCCUCCGUUCUCCAAUCUGAAAACACUCAAAAGAUGGAGGUAGAACUUGUAUACAAUUUUUUAAAGGAUGUAUCUAAUGGAAUCACCUCUCAUCCCACCCCCACCACCUGGUACUCAUUUUUAUAUUGAUGACAGUAGGAAAUGUUAAACACCAGUGAAAAGCUUCGCGUUACUGGGCCAGGUGUAUUAAAAUAAAAUUAAAAAUUGAAAUGUUAGGUAUAUACACAACAGCAUAAGUGAAAUGUGAUGUGAUAUAGCAUUUUCCAUUCAAAGCUUUUACAGUAGAAAAACUGAAUAAACAAAACCUCUCGUCUCUCUUGCUCCAGUGGCUCAGUGGAGCCUCCUGACUCAUUUAUUUUCCAUCAUAUCUUCAUAUAAAUAGUCUCACACAGACCUUACACAAUUUAGAAAAGAUUGCUGAAUCACAGAAAUAGCCCCCAAAUAUGGCAUUGUUACUUUCUAGAGUUUGACUAAAAUGAAUACUUGAUCAUUAAAACAAUAUUCAAAAUCACUUGAAGCAAUAAAGAAAAUUCUGAUGUUUUGUAAGGCCCUAGAAGUUUCUGCAGAGAUCAGAAUCUUAUUGUUCUUCCAAACUACAUUGUCCAAAAAAGUCUGGAUACAGGAAAUUGUGGAUUUGAAAAGCUGAACCGUUAAAAAGUAUUCCUUCUUAUGGCAGAGCAGUUUCUAAAGCGCCUUUCCAGGGUGGUCUGGGCAAACCCCGGCUGCUGCGGGGGGCAGUCCAUGUCGCUUAACACGGCUGCCCUGUCUGUUUGCAGGUGACACUUUCAAGGAAAGAGACCCCCUUUUCCCAGCUGGGGUUCUAAGCGGCCUCCACCGAAGGAAACACUGAACAGUUUCAGAUUGCAGGGGGUGGGAGAUCACUGAAAUCUGGGAACGACACUGAAGCUUCUGACUUCACCUGCAAAAUCUAACAGGUUGGAUUAGUAAAUUUGUUUUUUUUAAACAGAGAAGCUAAAGCCUAGAGAAAAUACAAAGAAGCGUCAUGAAAGGCAUAUGUUAUUUUACUUUCAUAAAUGAGUUUAGCUGUGCUCCUGUCUGGGAUUUACUGAAAUGGCCUCUGAACCUCUGAGUCACACACCCCCUUGUAAACAUGAGGCCGACAUGGGUGCACUUUUGGUGGGACAGGUGUUGUCUUCUCAGAAGCCCGUGUCCAGAGGUUGGUCUAGCGAGGCCGGACUGCCCACGGGGAGCAGGCCAGGCCACGCACUGGUGGGCAGUGGCCCUUGCGAGCAGAAUCCUUUCCCAUGGGGGGUGUUCUUCCUGAGUGUUAGCCUUGUGUGUGGGAAGCAGGGGUGGCCGGUGACCCCAGCCCAGGAAAUAACUAGUGAGCAGGGAUUGUUACGUUUUCCUUCCUAAGGAGGCAGCCGUCCCGUGAGUGGCCUGAGUCCCCUGCGCCCUAAGGCUGCUGCUGGUACUGGCCCUCCGUGGCCGUGUAGAAGUCGUCCAGGACGCUCUGCAGGUAGUCGAACGUGGGCCUCUCCUCGGCCUUUUCUUUCCAGCACAUUUUCAUGAUGUCGUAGAGCUCGUCCGGGCAGUUCUCCAUGCGGGGCAUCCGGUAGCCCUGCGACAGGGCGGUCAUCACGUCGGCGUUCGUUCUCCCUGAGGCCGAGAAACCACAGGUACCGUUUAGAAGCCUGACCCAGGCUCGCGCGCUGCAGUGGUCCCCACCUCCUGCACCUGUGGCUGAAGCAAAGCUUCGGAGGCUGCCGCGGGCUGAGCUGUGUUCCCACCAUGCCCUCCCCUGCAAACCCCUAGGUUGCACUCCUAGCCCCCAGGACCUCAGAAUGUGACUGCAUUUAGAGCUAAGGCCUUUAGAGGGGUGAUCAAGUCAAAAUGAACCCUUUAGGGUGGUCCCUAACUGCCUCUGACUGGUGUCCUUGUAAGAAGAGGAGAUUAGGAAAGGUCGGGGGAGACACGUGGAGAAGACGGCCGUCUCAAGCCAAGGACAAGCCUCGAGAGAAAGCAAGCCUGCCGACACCUUGAUCUUGGACUUGCGGCCUCCAGAACCAGGAGAAAAUUAAUUUCUGUCGUUUGAGCCACUCAGUUUGUGGUAUUUUGUGCUGGCAGCUCUGAAAACUGGUACAGAGGCUAAGGAAAUUUCUGUAAGCGAUGAAAUAAAUGUUAGUACGAAGGCGAUCAAGGCACCAUUCAGUUGCCAAAGUGAAAACAGGCAACCGUGGUAAACGGAAGACAAAGUGAGUUCUAAUGACAAAGGACACUGGACUUGACAGACCUUGUGAAUGAACAGCCCAAUCCUAACACUUAAUCUCACUUUCUUUUGUAGUAUUUUUUUUCCAGCUUCUACCUGUAAUACCAAAAAGAUCAUUUUCCCGUACAGUAUCUCCUACCAAUACUUUUUCAAAAUUAGCUUUUCAUCGUAAGUGUACUUAAAGAAGUCAGGAUCCUUAAGUCAGCCGGACCAAUUGUUUAAUCCCCACUCCUCAAAUGGUCCCGGCCUUCAGUACAGUAAGAGGCAGAGUCCGCCAGGCUGUGGGAAAGAGCACAUCUCAACAGCCGGCGGGGGAAGCAGGCUGCCCGCUCUUCCUACGGGGCUCUGCGAGAGAGCCGACCACGGAGGACGGCUUUUACUGUGGUCACAUGUCUACCAGUAUUUAAAAAUAUAAAUUACCAAUAUAACAGAGUAAACUACAAAAGAUCAGAGUGAGCUGUACAUGGCAAAGGUCAGUGUGGUCUUGUGAAACUUUUGUUUUACAUAUGGAACGGGUUUCUGUCUGUUUCUUACUGUGGGUCAUAAUCAGUGACCUCUGAACUCCUUUGCCCUUAACUAACCUUUCUUCUUCUAAGGACACAGUGACUGAAGGGCCCUGCCUGGAUUUAAACCCCUGAAAAAAGACACGACUAUUUCUGUCUUGGAAGAGCCCUUGUUUGUGAAAUGGGAAGAUCCAAGCCAACCUUAUAACUGUUAAGGUCUCUUGAAAGUUGUUUACAGGGUGAAUUAAUUUUGCUCAAGUCUACUUCUGCAACAUCAUCUUCAAAUAUUUGUGUAACGGGAAUGUUCUAACUGGAGCACUUCAUUUGCUUCUCAUUGCUUGAAGCCAAGGGGCUGAUUUGCAUCGCUUUCUUUAAUUGGGCUCCUGGUCUCCAUAAAUUGUGUGGCUUCAGCAUUGCUCUGGCUUCUGUAACUAGCCAAGCUCACUUGGAUAAAUUUCUGAAGAAAUAUCCGUGUUUACUUCUACAUGGGCGUUGGGGAAAGUUCUGGGGUCCUGGCAGGAGGAUUAAUAUCCAGGAUAAAGGAAACAGCCGCUGGACCUGCAAGGCUGGGUAGGAAUACCUCUUUCACCUCCUUCCUGGAGAAGCCCCAGUUGCAUAAAAGGUCAGAACGUGCCCAGAGAAGAUAAAUAAACCUUUCUAGGGCCCACGCUGCUGCACGGCAGAUUUCUUUCUUCCUUGUUCUUAUAUGUUCUCCUAACUCCGAAGAACUCUCUCAAUGAUGCAGAGGAAGGCCAGGCACGCUCCAGCCUGCCUGGGGAAUCUGACUUGAUAACAGGAAUAAAAAGAAGGAAAUCUGAAGUCUGUCUUUUUAUGUACAAGUAAAUCUACCAACAAAAUACGGCUAUCAACGGACAAGUCUGAUGGAAGAAAGAAAGAGAGGAGAGAGACCUUGACUGAACCCUAAGAUUAAACCCGGUGCCGGUCUGUUGUUAGGUUGAAGAAGGCAAACACCCACUGGCUGGUGAUCUUUAAAGGCAAAAGCAACUUCAUAUUCCAUCCUCCCUCCUUUCGACAAGCGUGUAGUGAGUACUUCCUACGGGUCAUGAGCUGGCACUAAGCUCUGAGAGGUACAAAGAUGACUAAGACAGAGUCCUGUCCUCAAAUGGCACACAGCCCAGUGGGGAAGCCAGCUCAGGAGACGGAGCCGGGGGGUGGGCAGGAGGUGACAUCUGGAGUCGGUAGGAAUUGGCAGAGACUAAAAGUUGGUGAGGGAGCAAGGGAGGGAGAAGAACGCAGUAGAGCAGAGAUGAGAAAAGGGACGGGGGUUAGCGACAGGAGACAGAAGCCCGGGCGCUCCAGGAACCAGGACGAUCGUUAACGACAGAGCGAGCCUGUUUGUGUGAGCAAAGGAAGUACAGCCGGCCCGGGGCCGCAGGCUCCCGCCCAGCGGCAAAUUAUGUUUUUCUGAGCGCUGCUUGUGACGGAGCAUUUGCAGCACGACGAGUUUCCUGAUUCUGGUUCACAUAUAGCUUAAGAUGCUAUAGAUAUACCUGGCAAGAAGCAGCCAGAAAAGACACGAUGCUUCCGAAAGCUUCGUCUUUUUCAAACCUCCUUUCUCUUUAUAAGAGCGAAGCAAAACAAACCCCCAACCACAAAGGUCCCCUCUAGUCUCUUUAGAAAAUUGCUAUACAAGUAUGACUACAGUGUUGCUUUUAAGAUAGUGAAGGAUCUUUUUGCCCCACCUCCCUUUUUCCCUUUAAUUCAUUCCCAAACAAAAAGAGAACACGAAAGAGAAGAACGGCGUCUCUGAUGUAAUCGGGAGACACCUGUCAGCCAGAGGCAGAAGUGGUCUGAGCCCAGAGGAGGAACGUGACCCGAGCGCCCGCCAGAGAGAAGUCAGCAGUGGAUGUCUGGUCACCACGUCUUGGGACGGGGCGCUCCUGGGCUGAGGUCGGUGCUGCAGGCAGGCCUGGACCUGGAACCCGCCUCGCAGGUGCCCAGGAUAACGCCGGAGGGAUGGAAGGAGAGAAGCUCCAGGCCCAGUGGACGGGGUGCAGGGGGCGUGGAGGACACUGGGAGCAAGGAGAGUGAGGCGCACCUGGCCCGGGCCACAGCCGGGCUGCACCUGAGGACGCCAAGCUGAGUGAAAUGAACCCGGCACAAAAGGACACAUACGAAAACCCACAACAACAGCAAAGAAAGACACUGAUGUCCGCUCCCCAGGGCACCUCCGGAACGCUGAUGGCCAGGCGGUGCUCCCACCGGCAGGGCCUGGAAGAUCCUCUUCAGAAGGAACUAAACAGUCCCAGAGAACAGACCUGAAGAUACUGCCGGGUGAGGAUGCUGACAGUGAGCCCGGUGGUCCAGAGGCCCUUGUUCCAGAAGACGUCUCACCGAAGCAAGGGGGAGAAGGUAAGCCUCAGAGGAGGACAGAGGACAGGAUGACAGGGACAGAAGCGUAGACAGGGGGCUCUGACGAUCACCCCAGGAGGUCUACUGUCCUACCAGUGAGUGAUUUGGAAAGAGGCAAGGAGCGAAUUUUCAAAGAAGCAAUACACGAAAACUUCCCAAAAUCUAUGCCUACAAGUUUCCAAAUCAAAAGAACAAAACAGGUACCGAGCUGACAUAAAAAUGACAGAAGUGUCACACCAAGGUACAUGGCCAUAAAUCUCAGGGACAAAGAAGGAUCUCGAAUGCUUCCAUAGAGGAAACGGGAUCCUAGGGAGGAGAUAGGUACAGAAGCCAUCAGCCUUCAGGGCAGCCACUCGGAAAGCUGAGGUCAGUGGAAGAAGUUGCUUAAAAUUCUAGGUGAGGACGUUUGGUGAACUAGCGUUCGUAACAUAAACAAAUUUGGUAACUGGACUUAUUUAGCUGUUUAAGUAUAUUUAGGGCACGAGUCUCUCCAGAAGAAGUCCUAUUUGGAGCGGAGUCUAUCUUCUAGGUACGAACUAGAAGAAUAUUAUCUUUGAUGCCUCCAAUUUUCACGAGGCAAUCUCCAAAGUCGAGCACGCAACAAUCGUGAUCUGUUUACUCAUUCGGCGUCCCCACCCAUGAGGGGAGAGUGCUUCACUGCAAGAGCUUUCGGUCUAGGGGCUGCAUAUUUAAAUUCAUAACUA